rnacentral:rRNA from 1 species
CCUACGGGCGGCAGCAGUGAGGAAUAUUGGUCAAUGGACGAGAGUCUGAACCAGCCAAGUAGCGUGAAGGAUGACUGCCCUAUGGGUUGUAAACUUCUUUUAUAUGGGAAUAAAAUGUUCCACGUGUGGGAUUUUGUAUGUACCAUAUGAAUAAGGAUCGGCUAACUCCGUGCCAGCAGCCGCGGUAAUUCGGAGGAUCCGAGCGUUAUCCGGAUUUUUUGGGUUUAAAGGGAGCGUAGGUGGGUUGUUAAGUCAGUUGUGAAAGUUUGCGGCUCAACCGUAGAAUUGCAGUUGAAACUGGCAGUCUUGAGUACAGUAGAGGUGGGCGGAAUUCGUGGUGUAGCGGUGAAAUGCUUAGAUAUCACGAAGAACUCCGAUUGCGAAGGCAGCUCACUGGACUGCAACUGACGCUGAGGCACGAAAGUGUGGGUAUCAAACAGGAUUAGAUACCCUUGUAGUC